rnacentral:rRNA from 1 species
GAUGAACGCUGACAGAAUGCUUAACACAUGCAAGUCUUUGGCGAAGCUGUGCUUGCACAGCCUAGCCAAGGCGGACGGGUGAGUAACGCGUAAGGAACUUGCCCUGCAGUCAGGGAUAACAGACGGAAACGACUGAUAAGACCUGGUAAAGUCAGGCGGACUCAUGUCCAGCCUGAUGAAAAGAGAUGCUGCAGGAGAGCCUUGCGUCCUAUUAGCUUGUUGGUGGGGUAACGGCCCACCAAGGCGAUGAUAGGUAGCCGGCCUGAGAGGGUGGACGGCCACAAGGGGACAGAGAUACGGCACAUACUCCUACGAGAGACAGCAGUGGAGAAUAUUGGACUAUGGGGGCAACCCUGAUCGAGCAAUUCUGUGUGCACGAUGAAGGUUUUCGGAUUGUAAAGUGCUUUCAGCAGGGAAGGAAAAAAUGACGGUACCUGCAGAAGAAGCGACGGCUAAAUACGUG